rnacentral:lncRNA from 1 species
GGCGGGGCGAGAGCGCCGGACGCCUGCCCCCCGGGACGGGCACUGGACGAAGCGGGAGGAGAAAGGCAAGACUAGCCGCUCGGGUGAGGACGAGAGGAUAGAGGGCGAGACGCUUGUUCUUCUGGAUCGGUGGGUGGCUGAUCCCUCGGGUGCGGAUAGUGGGCACUGAGGUGGGGAAGGGGUUAAAAGGGAGCUUGGAGUUCGACCCGUGGUCACUGUUCAGAGCCCUAUGCGCUUUCGGUUUUCCUGGCACUGGUGUUACCCUUCCCCUAAACCUAGAGGACGUGUUUACUUUUCCCUCGCUUUCAGCCUGCCUCCGAUUCACCGGACUGAAUGUUGUGCCCUAGGCGCUGUGUACCUGGGGCGGCAUCAGAUCUUCACGUUUAGACUAGAUUUUCACGUUACUUCGGCAGAGUCCCUUCAGUUUCCGCUCUUACCGUUUGUGGAGUCAAGGUGGGGGCGAGUGUUGGAGCGCCAGGUUUUGAUUGGGACAAAAGAUAAGGUUUCUGCCUUGCGGAGAAGUUUACCAGGCUUCCCCCAUAACUGGGUUAUCCAAAUACAGCAUCUGCGCUUGUGGUUGAACGCUCGUGCUCCUCUCCGGGAGGCUGGCUCCCGCACCCGAGCUGCGCACGCUCUGGCUGGGGCGCUUGGCUGGAGGGUGCAGAGGCUUCCCAGGGAGCCGUCAGAUCUCAGAGGUUUGGACGGGCUCGUACCUUGAAGCAAUUAAAGCUUCUGUUCCAUCAGAUAAGUGCUGCGUCGUCUCUUGCGAGUGAAAUCUGAGGGCUCACAAUGUUAAUGGGCUCACGUCUUUCCCUUGAUAAUACGGUUUUGUUUACUGAGCGUGGAGAGACGGGAAAUAAAAGUGCAACUGGCACAGGAAAUGAAGACUAGAAAGGUUACAAAGACCGGCUUUACAUGGACAAACUUUUCAACUUCCUUGAACAUUUCUUUGGGGCUGCAGGAAAAUAGCAAAACUAUAUAAAUAAAUGUUAUUUACACACAGCAGUCAUGAGAGAGGGUGGCUUCCUAAAACUGUGUGAAUACGGUCUACUCUUGACUUAUUCAAGUGCCCUUGAGAAUUUGAUCUAUUAUAGCCUCUUAGUUAUGGUGACGGAGGUUUUAUUAUUGUUUCACUGAUCCACUUGUCAUGCAAGAGCGAUUGAGCCCUUGCCUAAAAUUCCACUCUGAGGAAGCCAGGAAAAUAGGAGCCAUCACAGUCCGGGGAGCCAGUUCCUUACAGGGAUGUGAACCUGUGAAUAAACAGAGCCACACCGGAAGUGUUACCCUGGUGAGGCUGAAGUUAAGCCAAGGUGGGGAGGGGGGAGGUGGAGGGUACCCAGCUAGGAGUGAGCACAAAGCUAAUAGUUCUGGUGUUGCGGCACUGCUGGAGUUCUGGGAUUUGGUUGGGAAAUGGAAUCCUGUGCUGAAGAUGGCCCUUCAAACUUGAUGUUGCUACUUCAGUCUUUUCCUUUAGCCAAUCAGAUGACAAAAGUCCUAAAUAGUUCUUUGAAAGAGAAAAAUAGAGUCUCUUUUCUAGCUCUCUGGACAGGGAAUGGUAGAGCUCUUCAGACCUAGCUGAGACUUAUAUGAAGAAACAUUUUUUUGCUGUCCCCAACUCUGAUGGCCAUACAAAAAUAUCAGCGACCCAGAUGCUGCUGAGUUCACAUAACACCUCAUGCACCCCUGGCUAGACUUUAAGAGCCAGUUUUUACCAGGAUAGUGACCUAGCAUGCACACCUCUGUCUAAAUCAGUCUUUCUCUCGAAAGGUUUUCGGUUAAUCACAACUCCUAGGCCCAGAAGCCCCAGCAGGUCAAGAAGGAAGAUGGCCUUCUAAACCUCUCUGGAGAAGGCAUCCUGCAGGCUGCAACUCAGGAUGUAGGACAGAAAACUAAGCCUAAUUGCCCGGCAGAUCUGACCAAAACCUAUCACACUAAGGGCCUUUGCUCUAAGGUUUCAGGGAAAACAGGCAGCCUAGGUGCCUUGGCAAACUUCAUUGCAACAGAGACCAGGCUUCUGCUGCUAAGCACUUGGGGCAAAGGUUGGGUCCUUCCUGUCACAAUUAAGCAUUGACUUUGAUCCACCCGUGAGCUGUCUACACUGUUUCUCUGAAGCAAAAUUUUGGAGAUUGAACUUUCGCUGGUGGAAGAAAAUGUCCUAAAAGAGAAUGAGAUUUUUUUCUUAAAAUUGUAUUGUUUUGUUUUCAGAACUAUGAGUGAGAGUUGCCGGGAGGAGGGUGUUCAAUAUUCGUUCAGACCCAAUUGCAGUUCAAUGAUCAUUGCGUACAGAGAGCUACAUUCUGUUCGUCCUUCUCUCUACUCCCUUUAACCUCUCAGGCUUUGGCAUAUCCUACACCUUGGGCCAAGAGCUGCCAUCUCAACUCCUGGACUGGUCCUUGACUUAUUCAUAUUGGAGCCGAGACUCUGGUCAUCUCAGACUCAGAUUCAUCAUUUCCCAAGGACCUACUGUGUAAGAACAUUUUGUUAGGGGAGGUCUAGGCUGCACAAAAAAAGAUACUCUCAAACCAAAGGAACAAGGGAUUCAUUUCUGGCACAGGUCUCGACUAUGCUAUAAAUCUACUCCAGAAGAAUGUGAAUCUAUAGUUCUCUAAGGAGAGAUUGGAAGAUAUUAUUGGAGGAGCUAUAUGCAGAAAGAUGUGAACAUAGGAUAUUUUGAGUAACUUUAAAGUUUGUCUCCUAGAUGUUCACAGAGUAUGGGAGAAAUGUCUUACUAAUUUUAUUGCUUGUUCAAGUCAUGAAUUCCCAAGGGUCACUUGCCCUGCCAGGUCCGGGUGCUGUGAGUUCUCAGCAGGAGGUGACAGCAGAGGGGCCUGAUUGCCAGGUUGUGUUUGAUGUAGGAAUGCUUUGAAAUCUCUCCCAUACUGCUAACCAGGGCAGCCACCCUGAAACCCCACCCCCCAUGACAACCUUUGUCUCUCAUUCAAACAACAAACUUUUUUUUCUCCUGCAGACAGAAGACAGAAGUGAGGGAGGGUGACACUCUGGUCUUCUGUAUGUUUACAGUUGUUCCUAAGAAGCCUCUUGCAACCCCUCUCCACGAGCCUCUUCAUGUUACCCCUUGGAGACGCUUUGAGCACAUGCAGACUUUUGGCUCCACAGCCCCAAAGGGUAGAAGGGCUCUUGCUUGUUGGGGUGAAAAGUGGAGGGGGGGGAAUGGGGGGUGGAUUCUGGGCUUUUCUCUCAAGCAAGAUUUGUAGUUCUCUGCAGAAGCCUUCAGUCAUCCCAUGAUGGAAGUGGGGGUGAAGGACAGGAAUUCUAAACCUAUCAGAAGCCUGAUAACAGGACCCUCCUUGAGGAAAACAGUUUGGAGUGCUGUGCCUUUCCCUGAGAGCUUUGUGAAUGAAAGGCUCAUGGGUCAAGCCCUUGCCUGGCACACAGUAAACAUACAAGAAAUGUUUGUUGGACAGAAAUAAAAAUGGACAGAAUGGUGUGUUUUUACCAUGACUAAUAUCGGAUAAAAGAUAUCUUUAGAUAACGGCUCCCAAAACCAAUUCAUGUGGGUGGAAAUCAGCAUAGAAGCUUCUUUAAAAGUGCAGGUUCCUGAGCCCACCCAAGAGAUUUUUAUCUACUAUGCCUGACUCCAGUAGGAGUUGUGAUAAGCCUCUUGAGUGAUUCUCAAGCAGGGUUCUUGGGAACCAUAUUUUGAGAAUUUCUGCCUCUCAGAAAUUGAGGUGGGCAAUGUGGGAAGAGAGGGGUAAUUCGGUGGGAGGGGCCCUUGGCUAGCAUCAUGAGAGCUCAUGGCUAGCGGGAACAUUAUACCUGAACAGUGCCCAGAAGCCUCUUGGGUGGUAGGGGCAGAGAAUGUGAAAUGGCUCUCACAUUUUGGUUUGGCAGCCUAAGUCUAGUUGGGGUGAAGUUUUAUAAAAUAUCCUUAAGUAGUAGUCAGUAGAACUUUCCCAAGUUUUGCUGAUAAAAUAGUGCUUUGCAGAGACCUGGCUUCCGCUCCUUGUCACCUUCCUAACUUGGCUUUAGGGAUGCCAGUAAGGUAGGAAGUGAAAGGCGUUUGUCUCUCCCAGUCUCUUUAGAGAAAAUGUAGAGUAGUUCUGAGGUAAUGGAAAGAAGGAAGGAGGAGUAGGAAUAGGAGUCUCAAGAGGGCGGAGCCAACUCUUCUUUCCUUCCACCUCUCCCAAAUUGUCUGGAAUGAACAUCUGAGCUCCGGGGAGCCAGAGGGAAUGAAAUGUCCCUUGGCCUAAGCUGUAACUCUUCCUUUGAUUAAAGAUCAAGAUGUCAUAAAAUGUCAGUGCAAGAAGGCCCCUUAGAGAUGAGUGACAUUGAACCCCUCAUUUCAGAGAGGAAGUAACUUUACUCAGUGGUUAAAAGACAAAACUAUCGGGGUACCUGGGUGGCUCAGUCGGCUGGGCAUCCGACUUUGGCUCAGGACAUGAUCUUGCAGUCUGUGAGUUCAAGCCCCGCAUCGGUCUCUGUGCUGACAGCUCAGAGCCUGAAACCUGCUUUGGAUUCUGUCUCCCUUGCUCUCUGCCCCUCCCCCACUCCUGCUCUGUCUCUCUCUCUCUCUCAAAAAUAAAUAAACAUUAAAAAAAAAAAAGACAAAACUACCCUGCAAAAAAUGAGGGAACUAACUUGGGUCUCCCGACUGUCUACAGUCUGCUGCCUGUCCACAGUGUACGAAGAGGAAAGAGUAAAACAGCCCCUCCUUUGCACUGUGGCAGGGUCAAUGCUGAGCAAGCAGAGCAGUGUUGAAGGAGACACCCUUGUUUCUGGGAGGCCACACAGGCAGUGUGACUGCCUGGGAGGCUUGCUGGCCUCCCUUUGCAACUUGCUGAACUGGUGCUCCAGACUUCUGAGGCCCAACCUUGAGCUACUCCUAGAGAAGGCAGAGAUGGAUCUGGGUCCCCACCCCCUCCACCACGCAAGGGUUAAGGAUCCCCUCAUUUCCUGCUGAGCUUGACCCCUGGGGGAUCAAAACCAGAGGUGUCUUUCCAUUAAUGUAACUGGAUAGUACAAAUUUAGGACCGUGUGAACACAGGUAUAUCCAGGUCGGUUACACUUGUACUAAUCUUUUUCUCCUUUAUUUUUUAAAUAGGGUAUACAUUGAAAUUUACAUGGUUCAAGAUUCAAAGGGUACACAGUGGUAUGCAGUGAGCAUCUUUCUCCCAUCACCUAGUUCUCCUUCAACAUAGGCACCAGUUAAGAGUUUCUUACAUGUCUUUCCAGAGAUACCUUAUACGUUUCUAUCUAUCUAUAAAUCCCCCCACGUUUUUUUUUUGGGGGGUUUUUUUUUUUUUUGGUUUUUUUGCUUAAAUGAUGGUGUACCAGACAGACUCUCUCGCACCAUGUUUUUUCCCCUGUUGUAUCUUGAAGAUCAUUUCCUAUAAAUGCAUACAGAACUUCCUGGCUUAUUUUUACAACUUCAUGCUGUUCUGCUGUACACACCUACCACAAUUUAUUUAACUAAUCCCCUAUUAAUGGAUAUUUCGCUUAUUAUUCAUUGUUUUCCCAUUACAAACACAUGUUCAAGUUUUUAACCUAUUAGAAAAAUCCCCAGACAUGGAAUUACUUAGUCAAAAGUAUGUGCACUGGCAAUCUUGACGCAGAUUGCCAUAUUGCUCUCCUUAGAUGUGAAUCACUUUAUGCUUCUGCCAGCAACAUAUGAGAAUUCCUGUUACCUCAUACCCGUGCCAAGUCAGUGGGAUAGUAAAAGUUUUUAUUUUUGCCAGUCUGAUAAAUAAAGAAUAAUACCUUUUACUUAUCCUUAUAGCAUCUCCAAAAAUGCCAUUCUUUUUUUAUCUUGUUUGAUCCUUUCAUAAUUCUAGUUUACAAAUAGUAAUGGCGACACAGAAAAGAUAAACUGUUGGUCGUUAUCCCACCCAAUGUAAAUGGCCAAGGUCAGACGUUCAGCACUCUUUCCUGUACUGCCCUGUGCCCCGAGGAAGCCUAAGGAGAUUCAGAGAGAGUGGGUGGCUUCAAGCAUUCCCCGAAAGACACAUGAUAUAAAAAAGCUUUCCGACAUCUGCUAAGAGGCCUCCUCCUUAGUGGUCUGAUACCAAGACCACAUUUCUGCAUGUGUCCCUGGAGAGUACCCUCCGGAAGCAGAGGAGUUCUAAUUAGCAAUAUGAUCUGACCUAGUCCUAAGCAUUAGCCUGUGUUCAAUAUCUGGGAAGCAGUAGGUGUUGUUUUUAAUUUUCCUGAGACUUAUUUCUCACUGGACAUCCAGGAUCUAAGUUAUUGAUCAGCAUGGUGUGGGUAAGAGGAUGUUUUCCCUCGGUUUUAGCUUUGCCUGUGAUUCUCAUUUAGACCUGGUGAAGAUACCUGGUGAAGAUAACACACACACACACACACACACACACACACACACACACACACACACACGCAACUUUACUGAUAAACUUAUGAGGUAGAUAUCUAUUGACUGUUUCACUGAAGAUGAAACUGAAGGCCAGAAAGAUUAAGUGUAUUGUUUAGGGUCAUACAAUGUAUCAGCAAAACAGAAAAUACAGUGUAGACCUAAAACAGAAGUCCUUAGUUUCCCCCUGCAAAAUCUUCUUUUUCCCCUUCCUGUAUUCAUUUUGGUGAAUGACCUGGCUACCCAAUCAGGGCCUCUAAAUAGAAGCCUAGGGAUUAACAUCCAUAACUCCUCUUUCACUUGUCCAACUGUCAGCAAGUCCUGUGAAUUUGUCCUCCUAAAUGUCUUCCCUCUUCAUCCUCGUUACCUUAGUUCCUCCCUAGGCUGGAUUAUUGCAGCAGCUUCCCCUUCUUCUUUCCUUCUUGCCUCCUAUCCCUCCUCCAGUCAGACACAGCAUCCCUCCCAAAGAGCAAGCUUUCCAAAUAGAUAACGUCAUGUCCCAGUUUAAAAACUUCAGUGGCUUCUCACUGCCUGCAGAUUAAUUCCAGACUCCUUUCCACGGACCUCAUACAACCUCUUUUGCCAGCCAGAUACUCUACUCCAAACUCUCUUUGUUCCAGGUCUAGACCUUGUUCUUUCUUCCCUCCCUGCUUGCGUGUGCUGCUCUUUCCACCGAGUAUGUCCUUCCUUCCUAGACCUAAAAAGCUCAUACUUCAGGAAUCAAAAUUCACCUCCUCUGAGAAGCCUUUUCUGACACUACACUUGUGUUAGUGGCUCCUUCUCUUUAUUCCAGGAACCUUUAGGCCAUACUUCUGUUCUAGCGUCUGUCACAGUUUUAGGAUUCUUUUUCUUCCCCAGUAGAUCAAAAGGCAUACACUAUUAGUGACCCAUUUUUAGAUCUCAAAGCCCAACACAGUGCACACAGGAGCUGUUCAGCAGGUAUUGCUGAAAGGCAAGGAGAGAGAGAGACUCUGACCCAAGGACAAGAGGACCAGUAUUUUAAUUGCUUAAAGAAUUCAGGACACUGUGCAAGACUUAAUGCUACAGCUUCUAUCUAUCUAAAGUAAAAUGAUAGUAGAACAUCUCUCCAAAGCAAGUUAAUUUCCACCUGAGAGGAUGCUGAGAGAGAAGACAGGGAGGGAGGAGCUGGGAUUUUGUCUUUCAGGGGCUCUUCCUAUAGGCUAAGGCAACAACUUUUAACUAACGUCAGAAAUUUCUCAGCUGAUGUCACUCAAAAAGAGGGUAAAAGGGGGGGUAGCCUGAAACUUUCUUAGAACUUACCGAGGACUACAAGCACCACCGUAAGAACGCUUCACCACCCACUUUACCCAUGACCUCCUGCUGCAAACAGCUCUAAUGCUAAUGACCUCCUUCUCUCUCCCUCCACCAACGCUCACAGUUUUCAGUCUAUCCCUUUCUGGUAUUUCUAAAAUGAACCCCAAAAGAGCUGAAGUAAAAAUACUCCAGUCCUUCCUUCACACUUGAAAAGAGAGAGGCAUAUCAUUAUGGUUGGCAUUUUACGUAUAUUUUAAUUGUUCUUUUUAUAUGGCAUUCAGGUUUAGUUCCAAGUUUAACAGGGAUACCCUUGCUUCCUUCCAAAUAAAUUACUCCUGCAGGUAAAUAAGAGAACUAAACUAGCUCUGCCCCAUCCCUGAAUUCUAGUCCCCUGGGAAUCUUUUUUUUUUUUUUUUUUUUUAAGACUCUUACAUAGUGUCUGCGAAACCUGGGAUUUUCCUCUUCCCUUUCCAGGGGUACAGCUGCGCUAAGGGUGUGACGGGGGGCGGGGAGCAGGGGGGGGCAGGGUAUACAGUCUCCGUGCGUCUGGGGCGGGCGCGGGGGCCGCCCCUUAGGAGAGCCGUGGGCUGCAAGGGGUCCGGAGGCGGGGCCGGCAGGCGGCCGGGAGUACCGGGAGUGGGGGGGGGGGGGUGUCCGGCCUCGCGCCGCAGAGCUUGGGGCAGCGGGUCGCGCCCUCCGUGAGCGCUCACCCCGGGUGCCUGUGUCUCCUCUGCUUGCGGUUUCUGGUCGGCUCCCAGCUGGCCCAGACUUGCUCUGAAGUAGGAGGAACCGCUGUCGAGUGAAGAGUGCACACCGGGUGAUUGAUGAAUUCUUAAUAGGACUAACCUCUCCCGCCACCACCCCCCCCCGACCCUCGACACACACUGAGAAAUCCUUCACCCAAGCCCCCCCCCGCCCCCCCCCUCCCCAGGCCUCGUCGCCGGCGAGAGGGGACGCGGCCGCCAGCCGGUUGGGUGAUUAACUCACCGUUUGUCUUUCGGAAAGUGUGCCAGGUGGAUUGAGGCAGCCUGGCCGCUCCGGCUCUCUGCUGACUGCGCCGGGCUGCAGGCCGGAGAGCGCGGAACGAGCGCGCGCGUCACAUGGUGGCGCGGCCCGGAGCCGGCCUUUGUGCCGCGCGACCGCCCGGCCGCCCCGGGGAGGCGGCGGCUAUUGUUCCCCGCGGGGGAGGGAGGUGCUCAGACUCGGGGUCCACGCCAGCCUCCUCCCCAGAGUGUCCCCACAUCUGAGGACGGGUGGGGGCUUCCUUUGUGUGUUUUGGGCCUGCGACGGGAAUGGCGCGCCGUUGCCGCCCCAAGGGGCCGCAGAAGGGGCCGAGAGGUUGGUGCCAGCGCUGUCGCUACUUCGAGCUCGGCCCAACCGACCGACCCAGUUUCCCGCUCUGCCCUUGCGGAAGAGACGGGGAGGGAUGUGGUAUUUGUAGGGCAUGCGCUUGGAACAAUAGAGCCAUCAAAAGGCCUUCUCCCUGGUCUCCUCCCAAGGCAGCUAGGCUCUUCUCCCCUCUUUCGGAAAGGCCGUGGCCCAACAGGUCCUCUUGGCCUGAUUUUAGGCCUGCUUUCCCAGUAAAAACACUUCAUCUGUUCUCCACAAAUCCUAAUUUAAAGUCUCCUCCUUGGACUCUUACUGAUGUAAACAUCCCAUUUUCAUUAUUUUCCAGAUAUUAUUCUUCCAUAAAUUGAUCCAGACUACCAUAGGAACCAGUCAAGAUAUUUUGCCACAGGAUCUAGGACAAGAGGAUUUACCUACUAUUGCCCACCUUGCAAAUCUCCUAGGGACCUUUCACCUGCUUCUGCUACUGCAAAUGAUUGGACAUCCAUUUACAUUUCCUCUUCUUCAUGUGUGGAAGGAAACUUUUGUUCACUGUGCUUCAGGCUGCCCCUGGCCUGAAAGUGGGUCCUUGAAUUCCCCUUGUACCAUUCCAACUUGCCAAGGUGGUUAUGAGACCUGAGGGAGGUGUUUAGGCGUGGACUUUGGGCCAGGUGUGUAAAUCCAUUUGGUACCAACUUUGGGCCCCAAGGAUAAGGGCAUGUGUAGCUGCACCAGAAGAGAGGGGAACAGUGAAAACUAAAAUUUCACCCUCUGUGAUGAUCUUCACCACCACCAGUACCAACAAUGUUGUAAGUACAGAGGAUUCACCUACCCAGUCGUUUUUCCUCUCCAUCCGGGCCCUCUGCAAGAGUGAGCCAGUGCUCAGAGAUGGUGGAGGGUAUGGCUGGUGACUCAGUCUCAACUGUGUCUCAACUGUGUCCAAAGUGUCUAGGGAGAAGUCUGCUCACCGGUAGCUAUAUCCUCUCUGGGAAGGCACAGUGCCCUAAAGUGGUGAGGCUGUAGGCCUGUGGGAACUGGGGCCUCCUGCCCCUCUUUUUAUUUUUAUUUAAUACUCACAAACUUCUCUUCAUUCCCCCCCUUUUUUUCCCUUACAGUUUCUGAAAGAAGGACGGAAGUAACACCAAGAACUCCCAGAUGAAGAGGACCUUCCUGGAUCUGUAACUGGGAUUAACCAGUUCUUUACUGGGAGAGAAAGUUUCAACUAAUCCUCAGGAUAAAAGCAAACAGGCCUGUGACUGUCCCUUGAACACUGACAGUGUAAACAAGCUUCUGGCUCCUCCAGGUCAAGCAGAGCAACACUUUUCAUUAGAAUGUUGGGUUUCUUCUUUGUUAUUCAAACAUACACCCACACACAUCCCCUUGUCCCUCCCUAAUGAACAAACCUCAACAGAUGGAGAGCCUAGGCUCCCAAGACUUAUGACUGAGAAGAUGCACUUCACUCAAGGUGGGUUGGCUUGUACAGAAUGGGGGAGAGAGAAGAAAUGGGAAGCUAGUAUAGGUAAUUACUCCUCUUUUAAUACUCCUUACAGAUAGAAAUCCAAAAAAUCCUGUUCCGCAAGGUUAGCAGCCUCUGGGGCCUGGGAAACCGAUUUGGCUGAUGUGUCUGUGAUAGGGACUAGGCUUGGGGCUGCACCAGGGGGAAAGUACUCACUCUAUAUUCUAUCAUUCUCUCUCAUUUGAAAGCCUGUACAAAGAAAUGGUACAAAUGGAUGGUUAACUUAAUGAUUGCAUCAGAGGCGGAUUUUUCUCUGUCAGGACCCAGGAUGAGGCUGAGGUCUGAAAGCCAGGAGGCAGAACAUUUACUUAAUCGCCCUUUCUUACCGCCUUUCCAGGGGCCAGGACUGCUCUUCAGACCUUUCCUCUGACACGUCCCCGUACCCCUGGCUAGCUCAGUUGGGUCUUCUUACCCCACUCCUGGCUGGGCCUGAGUUUCUCCUGGUAGCCACGGCAAGGUCUCCUUAUAGCUAAAUCUUUUCCCACUCCCACCUCCCAUUCUACUGCGGGCCAUUUUUGCAGCCUCCUCUCUACCCAAAUUUAAUUAACAUUUGAUUGCCUGCACAGAACAACCAGGGGCUCCCAAACCGCUGCCACCCCCAUCCAUGGACCCUUUCUUCAGGCCUCAGGAUGAUCCCCCACAACCUCGCUGAUCCCUCCCCUCCCCCAGCGCUCCCCGCCGCCUCUAUAGGAAAAAAAAAAAAAAAAAGCCGAGCUGGUCAAGGCCUGAGCCAGAGAGCCACGUCCCCCUCUGGAGCAGCAAAGGGGGUAAACCUCCCAGAGACCGAUGCCCAAAGCGAGGCCCGGCCCUUCCCCACCUCCAGGCGUAGGCCCAACAGUGCCAUUGUGAGGCCUUUCCCGACGCGGAGCCCUUGGGGAAGCUGCGCACACAAAGGCGCAGCCGCUCCUGGAAGCCCGGCUUGCUCGGCGCCCUCAACCUAGCGCCGGACAGUCGAGGCCUUGUGCGCUCCCCCAUUGUACCCCACGCGGCCGUCUCGGGCGAAAGUCACGGGCUGGGGUGGAGGUUUCCGUCUCCUGCCAGCUUGCCCCUUCCCGCUCCAGGUCACACACUCCCCCCCACUUCCCCGGGAAGGAGAGGCCUGGGCCCAGAGCGCCAUUGCCCAGCCGGUGCUCCCCUCCCCCACGCUCUUCUUUCUGCUUUCCCGAGGCCCGGGAGGGAGGAGGCGGGCGCCUCCGCCGAUAGAGCAGCUAUUGUGACCUUCCCUCGCCGAGCGGGAACCCAACCGAGUGUACCGCUGGCGGGGGAGGAGGCGACUGUAUGCGCAGACCUCGGGGUGCAGAGGGGGGUGGUACUGGGAAAUAAAUAAAGGUUUGCAACCUUGGGCAGUUGGGCCUUCAGAGGGCGUUUGGUUGUGUUUAGACUCCGGUGCUUCCUAACACUAAUUGCGGGCUCAAAAGGAGCAGAAUUUAUGGCGAAGGCCAAGGCGGCUUGUUUAUAAUUUAUGAAGUUUUAAAUGGCUGUGCUACAGGCCCUCCUCUCGCCCUGGCCGGCGGCCGCGCGGGAAGCGCCUCCCCAGACUCGCCACCGCGCCCUCCUCCCCGCGCCAGGAGCGGCGGAGUGUGCCCAUCACAUGACACGCCGAGGGCAGGAAAGAAUCCAAGCCAUUCUAGGAAGCCCCGAGGAAACCUGUCACCAAAGGUGAGAGAAAGUCAAUUUGUCCCAAGCGAACUCCUCCACCCCGUUAGAGAGGGGUGCCUCCGGGUAACUGCCCGGAGAGGGAGCCCCCGACCCCGCACCUCUCUGGAGCAUCAGUGUGAGAGGAAGCUGAUGUCAGCCGGCCUAGACACCGUUUAAAGUCUAAUCCAUGAGACCUAAGCCGCAGAUGACACUUGGGGCCUUGCAGACACCCGCAGACUCAGCAGAUACUCCUGCGGUAACACACCGCGCUGGAAAACGCCUGGAGCCAUAAUGCAUUAUGUAUUUUUAUUAUUAUUUAUGGUAGGAAGAGGAGAUGAGGGAAAACCGGGCUGAAUCUAAACAGCCCGAUAAUUCAUCUAUUUAAUAUUUAGCCAGUUAAGAAAGGUUGUUGUAAUCCCUGCAAGGCAGCAAGCUCUUCUUUGACUUCCCUAAUAGCUUAAAAAAUAAUUUCUUACAAGACAAUUAGAAAUUCUGCCUAUGGAUGCAAGUUUCAUAGAAAACAAUUUUAAACCUUGCAAAUGGGUAAAAUAUCCCUUCAGUUGAAGUCAUUUAUUCUGUUGAUACACUUGUACAACAUGUAUACUCUAAACCUGCUCAGAUAAAGUGAAAUUUUGCAAAAGGAUAAUCCCUACCACCCCCGAUCUAACAUGCCAUUUUAAAAACAAAGGAACAAGGGAACUAGAUAUUAUUUGAGCUAUCAUUAUUUAGCGAAACACAAACAUCCAAAUAGAAACGAUUGUUGUUCCACCAGAAGAUUAGAAGUUAAAUUAUUUCCACACAAUGGGAAUUUCACCUCGUGUCACGGGGGGGAUGUAGUAGGAGCUGUAUUAUUUGUCAAACCGAAUAGAGAUGCGUGGGCUGACUUUGCUGAAAUACAAAAGACUUGAACCUUAUCUGAAGGCGCUUUCCAAGUGUCUCCUCCUAGAGAAGCGGGUGGACAUUGUCCACCCCUAGCCGAAGCCAGGCUAAUAUUUACAAAGUGGAUAUAAAUCCUUGGAGACAUUUUUGCCCGUGUUGUACAAAGAAACCGGAAUAAACAAGGUGUUUAUACUUGUUGUGUUCCAUUAAUUAAACUUUUAUUACUUUACAUCGUGGGGAACGUUUGUUUACUUGAGAAAUGAACCACCAACCAUCAUAAAGGAAAAAGUCCUGACAGCAUUUCCUAGAGAAAAAGCUUAGGUGCGUGUCUCCAAAUGAUCGUUUCUUUUUGUGCACCUUAGCUUUUUCAGAGCUCAGUUCUUCUUACAACUUCUCUUGUGUCUUUUCUUUGAUUGUCAGUUUUCUUUCAAAGUUUAUUUUUUAUUAGCGCAGAAACGUGAGAGCUGGCCUCCCCAGUGUAAAUGCAACCUUAAAAAGUCGAUUUAUGUCUAAAAAGAAGGUGGUGGAAAUAGCAUAGCAGGCACAGCACAAAGCCCUACCCAGAUUAUCCCCCGCCCCGUCCCGUCCCCGGGGCAUUUCUGGGUUUGCAUCCUCAGAUUUCCACCCCCCACCAAUGUCAAUAGCUGCAAUGUAAUCAAGUAUCCCCAGAACCAAUUCGUAUACCAGAUUCCAAAUAAAUGAAAAAUAGAUAUAUCAAAGAGUCAGCCUAUUCGGGGGCCUUCUGCUGGGAUUGUGCAAAAGAUAAAAGGCAGAGCGAUCUACUUCCCAGUGUGCUUGAUUAACACAGAUACACUUCCGACUGAGAAAUUUUUUUUAUUCUAAAUAUUUGUUCAAAUAGUACCAGACAAUUUGAAAUCAAUAAACUGUGUCGAGUGGUGAGGGCUGCGGCUGUUGAGAAAUGAGUAACGGGUGUCGUGCCACGCCACGGGGCCGCCUGACUCUAUACCCAUGAAGGACAAUUUGCGGUCUUAAUCCUUUACAACUACAAACACCAGCCACGGUUACAACUGUUCAAAACUACUCUCUCAACUAGUUCAGAGCAAGGGGACUAAAGAGGUGAGACGUGGCCCCCGCGGCCUGGGAGCGCGUUCCUAAGCUCGGCUGGAGAAUUCUACAAAUAUACACAUAAAUACAUUAAGACGAGGAUAAAUAAUCAGGGAAACGAAAUGACUCGCUUCAAAUAAUAAAUACGGUCGUUGAGUCCGAUGCAAUCCUUACGGGACGGGAAGGAGCAUAUAAAUUAAGGUCUCCGCAACUAAGCUAGACGCGGGCCAGGCCCGGGGCUGUCCGGGCUCUGGUCCCUCUGCAGAGCGCGCCGCCGGUGGAUCUCAGACUUACCUUCGGGACACCAUUACCAGAUUAGAGUCCCUCGGUCCGCAGUAUAUGGCACUGUCAGGGUUACAGAGGACAAUCCUUGCGGCUGAUUUAUGGCGAGUCACCCAAAGGAGGGAGCUCCUGGAGGGGAGGCCCAGUCGCCUGCGCCUCGGCCGCUGUUG